CCUACGGGCGGCAGCAGUGAGGAAUAUUGGUCAAUGGGCGCGAGCCUGAACCAGCCAAGUCGCGUGAGGGAAGACGGUCCUAUGGAUUGUAAACCUCUUUUGUCGGGGAGCAAAAGACGCCACGCGUGGCGUUCCGAGAGUACCCGAAGAAAAAGCAUCGGCUAACUCCGUGCCAGCAGCCGCGGUAAUACGGAGGAUGCGAGCGUUAUCCGGAUUUAUUGGGUUUAAAGGGUGCGCAGGCGGAAGAGCAAGUCAGCGGUAAAACUACGGGGCUCAACCUCUUCGAGCCGUUGAAACUGGUUGUCUUGAGUGAGUGAGAAGGAUGCGGAAUGUGGGGUGUAGCGGUGAAAUGCAUAGAUAUCACGCAGAAAACCGAUUGCGAAGGCAGGAUACCGGCGCUCAAAUGACGCUCAUGCAAGAAAGUGUGGGUAUCGAACAGGAUUAGAUAACCCGGUAGUC
rnacentral:rRNA from 1 species